AUUGAACGCUGGCGGAAUGCUUUACACAUGCAAGUCGAACGGCAGCACGGACUUCGGUCUGGUGGCGAGUGGCGAACGGGUGAGUAAUGUAUCGGAACGUGCCCAGUCGUGGGGGAUAACGUAGUGAAAAUUACGCUAAUACCGCAUACGAUCUAUGGAUGAAAGCGGGGGAUCGCAAGACCUCGCGCGAUUGGGGCGGCCGAUAACAGAUUAGGUAGUUGGUGGGGGAAAUGCCCACCAAGCCAACGACCUGUAGUUGGUCUGAGAGGACGACCAGCCACACUGGAACUGAGACACGGUCCAGACUCCUACGGGAGGCAGCAGUGGGGAAUUUUGGACAAUGGGCGAAAGCCUGAUCCAGCCAUUCCGCGUGCAGGAUGAAGGCCCUCGGGUUGUAAACUGCUUUUGUACAGAACGAAAAGGUUUCUACUAAUACUAGGAGCUCAUGACGGUACUGUAAGAAUAAGCACCGGCUAACUACGUGCCAGCCGCCGCGGUAA
rnacentral:rRNA from 1 species